rnacentral:rRNA from 1 species
GAGUUUGAUCCUGGCUCAGAUUGAACGCUGGCGGCAUGCCUUACACAUGCAAGUCGAACGGCAGCAUGAUCUAGCUUGCUAGAUUGAUGGCGAGUGGCGAACGGGUGAGUAAUACAUCGGAACGUGCCCUGUAGUGGGGGAUAACUAGUCGAAAGAUUAGCUAAUACCGCAUACGACCUGAGGGUGAAAGUGGGGGACCGCAAGGCCUCAUGCUAUAGGAGCGGCCGAUGUCUGAUUAGCUAGUUGGUGGGGUAAAGGCCCACCAAGGCGACGAUCAGUAGCUGGUCUGAGAGGACGAUCAGCCACACUGGGACUGAGACACGGCCCAGUCUCCUACGGGAGGCAGCAGUGGGGAAUUUUGGACAAUGGGCGAAAGCCUGAUCCAGCAAUGCCGCGUGUGUGAAGAAGGCCUCGG